rnacentral:rRNA from 1 species
UACGGAGGGUGCGAGCGUUGUCCGGAAUCAUUGGGCGUAAAGGGCGCGUAGGUGGCCCGGUCAGUUCGUGGUGAAAGCGCGGGGCUCAACCCUGCGUCGGCCAUGAAUACUGCCGCGGCUGGAGCACUGUAGAGGCAGGCGGAAUUCCGGGUGUAGCGGUGGAAUGCGUAGAGAUCCGGAAGAACACCAGUGGCGAAGGCGGCGACCUGGACGGACACUGACGCUGAGACGCGAAAGCGUGGGGAGCAAACAGG